rnacentral:rRNA from 1 species
AGUGAACGCUGGCGGUAGGCCUAACACAUGCAAGUCGAACGGCAGCACAGUAAGAGCUUGCUCUUACGGGUGGCGCGUGGCGGACGGGUGAGGAAUACAUCGGAAUCUACUUUUUCGUGGGGGAUAACGUAGGGAAACUUACGCUAAUACCGCAUACGACCUACGGGUGAAAGCAGGGGAUCUUCGGACCUUGCGCGAUUGACUGAGCCGAUGUCGGAUUAGCUAGUUGGCGGGGUAAAGGCCCACCAAGGCGACGAUCCGUAGCUGGUCUGAGAGGAUGAUCAGCCACACUGGAACUGAGACACGGUCCAGACUCCUACGGGAGGCAGCAGUGGGGAAUAUUGGACAAUGGGCGCAAGCCUGAUCCAGCCAUACCGCGUGGGUGAAGAAGGCCUUCGGGUUGUAAAGCCCUUUUGUUGGGAAAGAAAAGCAGCAGGUUAAUACCCCGCUGUUCUGACGGUACCCAAAGAAUAAGCACCGGCUAACUUCGUG